CAAACCUCACAUUGAACGAGGCAGGGUGGAGAGCCGGCCCCGGGUCUGCCCCUUCACAUGGCCAUGUCUCCGGCAGGUCCCGGCAGCGGCCGCCCGGGCCACACAGAGCGCAGACAGGAAGUCAGCGCCCAUGAAUGCUUUCGGGAAGCAUCACGAAACUUCGUUGCUGAAGACCCCUACCCCCAGCAGAGUCUUGUCCGCGCAGACCUGCGCUGAAGCUGCGCGGGUCAGGGUGUGCAGAGGAGCUGGGUCUGCAGUCAGCCCGUCCUCGGGUGCAGAGGACGCUUGUUGCGGAGCCAAGCCCUACAAAUACUGAAGUUGACCACACUAGAAAAUAAUCACCGACCUACCCUGUCUCCAUGGGGGAGAACACACACCUGGAGCCUAAUUCCCAGUUCUCCCAGCCAGUACCCUCCAGUUUAUGCUUUUCUGGACAUCAAGGAUGAUUAUCGUCCCGCUCCAGAACCAGCUCUUAUGGUGGUUUAACUGGGAGAGAGUGCAAUGGUAAUUUAACCAAGUGGGUUUAUAACUCAAACAGUGCAUGUCGAGGACUUGGCAUCAUAUACCAAUCUGGAAUAACUAAAAAAAAUGCAUACACUGCUGUACAAACUAAAAUACUUCGUAUCGGAAAAAAGCAUAUAAUUACCCUUCUGGACUCACAGUGCUGCAGAGGGUAGGACAUACAUCCUACAGAGGAUGUAUGAAAUCUUACAGCUUCAAUAAAAUUUGUUUUCCUUCCUUCAAAACUG